rnacentral:rRNA from 1 species
UACGGAGGGAGCGAACGUUGUUCGGAUUUACUGGGCGUAAAGGGUGUGUAGGCGGUCUUGUAAGUCAGGGGUGAAAUCUCUCGGCUCAACCGAGAAACUGCCUUUGAGACUGCAGGACUUGAGGGCGUGAGAGGAGACUGGAAUUCCUAGUGUAGCGGUGAAAUGCAUAGAUAUUAGGAGGAACACCAGUGGCGAAGGCGAGUCUCUGGCACGCAUCUGACGCUGAAACACGAAAGCCAGGGGAGCGAACGGG